GACGAACGCUGGCGGCGUGCUUAACACAUGCAAGUCGAACGCUGAAGCUCAGCUUUUGUUGGGUGGAUGAGUGGCGAACGGGUGAGUAACACGUGAGUAACCUGCCUCCUUCUUUGGGAUAACGCCCGGAAACGGGUGCUAAUACUGGAUAUUCACUGGUCUUCGCAUGGGGGUUGGUGGAAAGGGUUUUUCUGGUGGGGGAUGGGCUCGCGGCCUAUCAGCUUGUUGGUGGGGUGAUGGCCUACCAAGGCUUUGACGGGUAGCCGGCCUGAGAGGGUGACCGGUCACAGUGGGACUGAGAUACGGCCCAGACUCCUCCGGGAGGCAGCAGUGGGGAAUAUUGCACAAUGGGCGCAAGCCUGAUGCAGCGACGCCGCGUGAGGGAUGGAGGCCUUCGGGUUGUGAACCUCUUUCGCUCAUGGUCAAGCCGCAACAAUGGUUGUGGUGAGGGUAGUGGGUAAAGAAGCGCCGGCUAACUACGUG
rnacentral:rRNA from 1 species